rnacentral:lncRNA from 1 species
CAGCAAGGCCUGGUGCGGCAGGACGCCCAUUCUGCAAGGCCUGGCUCCCCGCUCCUCCACCAACCUUUGCUCGCUGCUGAGUCUUCUCCUGAACCAGUCUGGCCCGACCCUCUGACAGAGCCCAUGUUCUGGGAGAUCAUGAGGUUGCGGAAGGAGAUGUCACUGGCCAAGCUCGGCUUCUUCCCCCAGGAGGCUUAGGGCGCGGCCCAGGCCUGAAGGGGAGCUCUGAGACAGAGCAAACACCCACCCCAGAACAAGCCGACACACAGGGAGACGGGGGCCUGGAGCCAGCCCUGAGCCAGAGGCAGAAUGGAUGGACAGACAGGCCAUGGAGGCAGCACUGAGCCAGCACCACACGUCCAUCCUGGGACAGACGGGCCUGGACUUCACGGCAAGACCCCCCUCUCUUCCCCACUGGGUUCUGCCACCACCAGGAGGAUUUCAAGAAAGCACCAAAGACCAGGGAGCUCGGAUCCAUACUCGGGGGGCCUCAGCCCUUGGGAGGGGACACCUGAGGCAGCCAGCGCCCCCUCCCCAGUCCCCAGAACUGCCUGCAGGUGCCUUGUUGCUGGCUUGUCUUCAGAAAGGGACUGUUCUGGGUGGCUGGAUCUCCAGGGUACCCUCCACCCCAGCUGC